UGCCUACUGAGCUGAUUACAGU
rnacentral:miRNA from 8 species